UGAGUUGCCUAGCACCUCAUUAAGUUGCUGAGGCUGGGUCUGAACUCACAAUCCUCCUGCCUCAGCCUCCCGGGCCACUGGGAUUACAGGCAUGUGCCACCUCACCCAUCUCCUCUAUGUGCAAUUCUUAAGAAAUAAUACAAAGAGAUCCAUCCUGUGCACCCUUCAUUCAGUUUUCUCCACUGCUGAUAUCUUGCAAAAUCUGGUACAAUAUCACAAUCAGGAUAUUGACAUGUGGUCAAGAUCCUGAACAUUUCCAUCAAGACAAAGAGCCCUCGUGCUGCUCUUUUAUAGCCACAUCCACUUCUCUCCCACCUCUACCCCUUCCUUCACUCCUGGCAAGAACUAAUCCUUUCUCUAUAAUUGUGUCAUUUUGAGAAUGAUAAGUAAAUAGAAUCACACACUAUAUGACCUUGUAGAUGGCUUCUUUUCAUUCUGCAUGAUUUCUCUAGAGAUUCACCCAGUUGUUACCUAUCAAUAGUUCACUCCUUUUGAUUGCUGAAUGGUGUGGAUGUAACAGAGGUUAGCCAUUCACCCACUGAAGAAUAUCUGUCUGGACUGUUUCCAACUUGGGGACAUUUUGAAUAAAGUUGCUAUAAACAUUCAGGUAUGGGUGAAGAGAAGCCUUCAUUUCUCAGAAAUAAAUGCCCAGGGAUGCAAUGACUGGGUAGUAUGGGAGUUGCAGGUUUACUUUUAUUUAUUUAGUUAGUUGGUUAGUUAGUUAGUUAGUUAGUUAGUUAGUUUUUAGUGGUAAAUGAACACAAUAUCUUUGUUUUAUUUAAAUAUUUUUAUGUGGUGCUGAGGAUCAAACCCAGUACCUCACAUGUGCCAGGCAAGCGCUCUACCGCUGAGCUAUAACCUCAGUCCCUAUUUAUUUAAUCUUUUCAAAAAUACUGUCAUGCAUCUGUCUGUAAUCCCAGCUACUCAGGAGGCUGAAGCAGGGGGAUUAAAAGUUCCAGACCAGCCUGGGCAAUUUAACAAGGACUAAAAUUAAAAAAUGAAAAGGUCUGGGGAUGCAGAUCAGUAGUAAAAUGCCCGUUUUCAAUCCCCACUACCUCAAAAACCCUGCCAAACUGUUUUCCAGAAUCUCUAUAUAUCAUUUUGCGUCCCUACCUGCAAUAUGUGAGUUAUGGGGUUUCUUCACAUUUUUGCAAGAAUUUGGGUUUAUCACAAUUUUUAUUUUGGCCAUUCUGAUAGGUGUGUGUCAAUACCUCAUUGUGAUGUAAAUUUUAAUUUCUCUAAUGGCUAAUGAUGCUGAACGUCUCUUCGUGUUCUCAUUGGCCAUCUGUAGAUGCUCUUCAAUGAAAUAUUGCUUCAUCUGUUUUGCCAUUUUCUAACUGGAUUGUUUUUUGACUUGCAUUUAGAGUUCCUUCCUCUAGUCUAGAUAUUAGUGUUUUGUCAGAGGUUUGUUUUGUAAAUACUUUCACUCUACAGCUGUCUUUUCAUCUUCUUAAUAUAGGGUCUUGUGAUUUUUUUCCCUCAAUUCUAAAAGUUUUAGUUUUACAUUUUAUAUUUAAGUUCAUGGUUCAUGUUGAGUUAAUUUUCAUAGAAGGUAUGUGCUAUGAUUUCGAUAUGGUUUGUCCCCCAUGUUCCAGUGCUAUAUAUUUUUUUAUUCCCAAAUUUAGAGGAAAACAUUUCAUACUACACCAUUAAGUACAAUAUUAAGUUUUUUUUUUCACAAUACCUUUGUUCUAUUUAUUUAUUUUUAUAUGGUGCUGAGAACCCAGGGCCUCACACGUGCUAAGUGAGCACUCUACCACUGAGCCACAACCCCAG
rnacentral:lncRNA from 1 species